AAACUUUCAGCAACGGAUCUCUUGGUUCUGGCAUCGAUGAAGAACGCAGCGAAAUGCGAUAAGUAAUGUGAAUUGCAGAAUUCAGUGAAUCAUCGAAUCUUUGAACGCACAUUGCGCCCGCCAGUACUCUGGCGGGCAUGCCUGUCCGAGCGU
rnacentral:rRNA from 1 species